UUUUCUGCCACCGAAUACAUUAGCAUGGGAUAAUGGAAUAGGACCCUGUCCUCCUAUUUUCAGUUGGUUUUGGCAGCGCGAGGACUAGGGUAAUGAUUAAUAGGGAUAGUUGGGGGCAUUAAUAUUUAAUUGUCAGAGGUGAAAUUCUUGGAUUUAUGAAAGAUUAACUUCUGCGAAAGCAUCUGCCAAGGAUGUUUUCAUUAAUCAAGAACGAAAGUUAGGGGAUCGAAGACGAUCAGAUACCGUCGUAGUCUUAACCAUAAACGAUGCCGACCAGCGAUUAGGAGACGUUGAAUACAAAACACCACCAUCGGUGCGGUCGUCCUUGGCGUCGGUCUUUCGGGGCCGGCGCGGGGGCGGCUUAGCCCGGUGGCACCGGUGAAUGACUCCCCUACCAGCUUGUGAGA
rnacentral:rRNA from 1 species